UACAGGGGGGGGCAAGCGUUGUUCGGAAUUACUGGGUGUAAAGGGUUCGUAGGCGGUGCGGCAAGUUGGGAGUGAAAUCUCUGGGCUUAACCCAGAGGCUGCUUCCAAAACUGCUGUGCUUGAGUGUGGGAGAGGCGCGUGGAAUUGCAGGUGUAGCGGUGAAAUGCGUAGAUAUCAUCAGGAAUACCGGAGGCGAAGGCGGCUCACUGGGUCUCUUCUGACGCUGAGGAACGAAAAGCUAGGGGGAGCAAAACGGGG
rnacentral:rRNA from 1 species